rnacentral:rRNA from 1 species
AGAGUGAACGCUGGCGGUAGGCCUAACACAUGGCAAGUCGAACGGCAGCACAGUGGUAGCAAUACCAUGGGUGGCGAGUGGCGGACGGGUGAGGAAUACAUCGGAAUCUACCUUUUCGUGGGGGGAUAACGUAGGGAAACUUACGCUAAUACCGCAUACGCCCUUCGGGGGAAAGCCGGGGAUCGCAAGACCUGGCGCGGAUAGAUGAGCCGAUGUCGGAUUAGCUAGUUGGUGAGGUAAUGGCUCACCAAGGCGACGAUCCGUAGCUGGUCUGAGAGGAUCGAUCAGCCACACUGGAACUGAGACACGGUCCAGACUCCGUACGGGAGCAGCAGGUGGGAAUAGUUGGACAAGUCGGGGCACGAAGCCUGACUCCAGCCAUACCGGCGU